rnacentral:rRNA from 1 species
CUAUGCGCCUUGCCAGCCGCUCAGGUGUGCCAGCCGCCGCGGUAAUACGGAGGAUGCGAGCGUUAUCCGGAUUUAUUGGGUUUAAAGGGUGCGUAGGUGGUUAAUUAAGUCAGCGGUGAAAGUUUGUGGCUCAACCAUAAAAUUGCCGUUGAAACUGGUUGACUUGAGUAUAUUUGAGGUAGGCGGAAUGCGUGGUGUAGCGGUGAAAUGCAUAGAUAUCACGCAGAACUCCGAUUGCGAAGGCAGCUUACUAAACUAUAACUGACACUGAAGCACGAAAGCGUGGGAUCAAACAGG